rnacentral:sRNA from 1 species
GAGACGGUUGAAACAACUACAGCUGGAA